GGCACAUAGUUCAGUGGUGCAGCACCUGCCUAGUAUGCAUGAAGCUCUGGGUUCAAUCCCCAGUACCA
rnacentral:tRNA from 1 species